rnacentral:rRNA from 1 species
CCCAGUUCGGAUCGCAGGCUGAAACCCGCCUGCGUGAAGUUGGAAUCGCUAGUAAUCGCGGAUCAGCAUGCCGCGGUGAAUACGUUCCCGGGCCUUGUACACACCGCCCGUCACACCAUGAGAGUCGGGAACACCCGAAGUCCGUAGUCUAACAGCAAUGGGGGCGCGGCCGAAGGUGGGUUCGAUAAUUGGGGUGAAGUCGUAACAAGGUAGC